rnacentral:rRNA from 1 species
AGAGUUUGAUCAUGGCUCAGAUUGAACGCUGGCGGCAGGCCUAACACAUGCAAGUCGAGCGGUAGCACAGAGAGCUUGCUCUCGGGUGACGAGCGGCGGACGGGUGAGUAAUGUCUGGGAAACUGCCUGAUGGAGGGGGAUAACUACUGGAAACGGUAGCUAAUACCGCAUAAUGUCGCAAGACCAAAGUGGGGGACCUUCGGGCCUCAUGCCAUCAGAUGUGCCCAGAUGGGAUUAGCUAGUAGGUGGGGUAACGGCUCACCUAGGCGACGAUCCCUAGCUGGUCUGAGAGGAUGACCAGCCACACUGGAACUGAGACACGGUCCAGACUCCUACGGGAGGCAGCAGUGGGGAAUAUUGCACAAUGGGCGCAAGCCUGAUGCAGCCAUGCCGCGUGUGUGAAGAAGGCCUUCGGGUUGUAAAGCACUUUCAGCGGGGAGGAAGGCGNCGAUUGACGUUACCCGCAGAAGAAGCACCGGCUAACUCCGUGCCAGCAGCCGCGGUAAUACGGAGGGUGCAAGCGUUAAUCGGAAUUACUGGGCGUAAAGCGCACGCAGGCGGUCUGUCAAGUCGGAUGUGAAAUCCCCGGGCUCAACCUGGGAACUGCAUUCGAAACUGGCAGGCUAGAGUCUUGUAGAGGGGGGUAGAAUUCCAGGUGUAGCGGUGAAAUGCGUAGAGAUCUGGAGGAAUACCGGUGGCGAAGGCGGCCCCCUGGACAAAGACUGACGCUCAGGUGCGAAAGCGUGGGGAGCAAACAGGAUUAGAUACCCUGGUAGUCCACGCCGUAAACGAUGUCGAUUUGGAGGUUGUGCCCUUGAGGCGUGGCUUCCGGAGCUAACGCGUUAAAUCGACCGCCUGGGGAGUACGGCCGCAAGGUUAAAACUCAAAUGAAUUGACGGGGGCCCGCACAAGCGGUGGAGCAUGUGGUUUAAUUCGAUGCAACGCGAAGAACCUUACCUGGUCUUGACAUCCACAGAACUUUCCAGAGAUGGAUNUUGGUGCCUUCGGGAACUGUGAGACAGGUGCUGCAUGGCUGUCGUCAGCUCGUGUUGUGAAAUGUUGGGUUAAGUCCCGCAACGAGCGCAACCCUUAUCCUUUGUUGCCAGCGGUCCGGCCGGGAACUCAAAGGAGACUGCCAGUGAUAAACUGGAGGAAGGUGGGGAUGACGUCAAGUCAUCAUGGCCCUUACGACCAGGGCUACACACGUGCUACAAUGGCAUAUACAAAGAGAAGCGACCUCGCGAGAGCAAGCGGACCUCAUAAAGUAUGUCGUAGUCCGGAUUGGAGUCUGCAACUCGACUCCAUGAAGUCGGAAUCGCUAGUAAUCGUAGAUCAGAAUGCUACGGUGAAUACGUUCCCGGGCCUUGUACACACCGCCCGUCACACCAUGGGAGUGGGUUGCAAAAGAAGUAGGUAGCUUAACCUUCGGGAGGGCGCUUACCACUUUGUGAUUCAUGACUGGGGUGAAGUCGUAACAAGGUAACCGUAGGGGAACCUGCGGUUGGAUCACCU